AUGUUAACACCACUGCCACCACAACUUGGCGAUCAGACUCUUACAACGGGUCUUCUCCAUCCGUCAACUUAGGUCAACUGCCCAACAAGCCCGAAUUACUUGUCGUCACCCUUUCCAUGAAAACAAGUUCCUUCAUGCACAAAUGAGAACGGAAUCAUUGCAUUGACCCUACAACAGUGUGUGUCCAUA